GCCGAAGUGGCGGAAUGGCAGACGCGACGGUCUCAAAAACCGUUGGGCCAAAAGCCCGUGUCGGUUCGACCCCGACCUUCGGCACCA
rnacentral:tRNA from 1 species